rnacentral:snoRNA from 1 species
UGAACUCUUAAACCACCUGAAAAUUCUUAAGGUGAAGAAAACUCUUUGUAAAUGUCCUAGAGAAAUAUAGUAGCUUUCUGUUCACGCUUUGCAAGUAAAAAGGGUGGAUCGUUCCACUACUGACAUAU